rnacentral:lncRNA from 1 species
AUGCCCUUAAAGGGCUUCCACACUAUUGAGUUCCUGUUUCUCUAUAUUCUUUAUUGUGUGGAUGCCCUAAAGGGCUUCCACACUAUUGAGUUCCUGUUUCUCUUUAUUCUUUAUUGUGUGGAUGCCCUAAAGGGCUUCCACACUAUUGAGUUCCUGUUUCUCUUUAUUCUUUAUUGUGUGGAUGCCCUAAAGGGCUUCCACACUAUUGUUUUCCUGUUUCUCUUUCUUCUUUAUUAUUAUGUGUGCCUAUGCCAAGAGGCACACAUAUUACUAUUCGUCGGAUUUAUUAUUCUUAUUAUGUGUGCCUAUGCCAAGAGGCACACAUAUUACUAUUCCUCGGAUUUAUUAUGUGUGCCUAUGCCAAGAGGCACACAUAUUACUAUUCGUCGGAUUUAUUAUUCUUAUUAUUAUUAUUAUUAUUAUUCUCCAUCUUCCGCCUAAAUUUCGGCACGUAUCACGCCCCGCAGUUUUGAGAAAAGCUUCAUAUAUGUUACCUCAUUUUGUGCGGCUGGAUCUGGAAUGGUGUGCUAUGACUUUUGGUGUUUAUGACUAUUAUAGUUUUUUAAAUAUUAAUAUUUUAGUGAAAAUUUUCCCACGCUCCUCUGCCAAACAGUUUUGACAAUAGGGGUACAUAUGUUACAUCAUUUUGUGCGGCUGGAGCUGGGCUAGUAUGGUGUGACUUUUGGUGUUUAUAACUUUUAUAGUUUUUGAAAUAUUUAGAUUUUAGUGCAAAUUUAGGCCAAUUUCUAGGCUCCUGAGAAAGAUUCUGCUUUUGGCACCAUAGAAACAGACUUCAUUUGUGGUGUGUUGGCUCUCUCUAGUGGUAUACCGGGAGUAGUACGGCCUAAAGGGUGCCAUGCUUGGUGAAAACUACAUAUCCCACAAUUCAUAGCAUGCCUCUACCGAGUCAAACAAUGGCGGACACCACUUCGUUUUAUAUGUCUUUUAUUCGUGUUUCUAGGUCACAAAAUACACUUUUAAGAUAUUUUCAGGCGAGAAUGUAGGUGUGUAAACUUCAAAUAUCUGCUCGUUUUAUCAAGACAUCCCAUAUUAGCGACAAUUCUCUUAAGUGUUGCUGAUAGCCGGCUAGCUAGCUAGCUUAGCUAGCUAGCGCCCCUUCGUGAAAAACCACCCAGGCUUGGCUGAUAGUGAGGUGGCUAAAAUUUGUUUAAUCGCCCGAUCGCUCGGCAAGGGUCUGUGUCUUAGCUGGACUUAUUUUUCGUUUAUAUGGGCCGAUGAUGCUGGUCGAUGUGGAAAAAAUAACUGAGUUGUUUGGUGGUGGAGCUACAACAGAGGGCAGCUAUCCACCGGUGUGUGACAGAAAGGACAUGUCGCGAACGAGACAUACAAGGCGGUGAGGCUACCGCCGAUCGUCCGGUGUUUGCUAACGCGGAGGUCAAUCGUGGAUCAGGGAAAGCAAAGGCAGGAGCGUGAGGUGAACUGAAUUUCAGGUAAGAAGUUAUGACCUGCACUCUAUUUGGGUCAGAUAUAAACCGAGUUUAGGUGUAGUUUAUUUAGCAACAGUUCUCAGCUUAGCUAGCUAGCGCGGCUAGCGACCCUUCGUGAAAAACCACCCAGGCUUGGCUGAUAGUGAGGUGGCUAAAAUUUGUUUAAUCGCCCGAUCGCUCG